GUACACGCUGUGACUAGCAUAUCAAUAAGCGGAGGAAAAGAAACUAACAAGGAUUCCCCUAGUAACGGCGAGUGAAGCGGGAAGAGCUCAAAUUUGAAAUCUUAAGGGGUUUUUCCCUUUACGAAUUGUAGUUUAAAGAAGUGUUUUCUGUUGAGGUUUUGGUAAAAGUUCUUUGGAAUAGGACAUCAUAGAGGGUGAGAAUCCCGUAUUUGACCUUUACUUUCAACCUUGUGAUACACUUUCAAAGAGUCGGAUUGUUUGGGAAUGCAGUCCAAAAUGGGUGGUAAAUUUCAUCUAAAGCUAAAUAUUGGCGAGAGACCGAUAGCGAACAAGUACCGUGAGGGAAAGAUGAAAAGAACUUUGAAAAGAGAGUUAAACAGUACGUGAAAUUGUCAAAAGGGAAGCGUUUGACACCAGUGUUGUUUUUCUGAAAAUCAAUUAAAGAACUGUUUAUGCUAAGUUGUUUAGACUUUAUCAGCUAACUGUUUAGUUUUGAGCUUUUCUUUAAUGCACUUUUCAGUUAACAAGUCAACAUCAAUUUCUUUUGCUGUAAAAAAGCUUGAGGAAGGUGGCUUGAGAUUCGUCUUAAGUGUUUAUAGCCUCUUGCCUAUGCAGUCGGAGAGAUUGAGGUCUGCAGCGUAGAUCCUUCGGGGCUAAAUGCAUUUGUGCUAAGUUAUAGCAUUUUAUAGACAACUUGUUGACUAUGAUUUGUCUUGUAGCUUACUCGCUUAUGUUAUUUUACCUACGCUUAGGAUGUUGAAGAUGUAGCACAUCAU
rnacentral:rRNA from 1 species